rnacentral:lncRNA from 1 species
GCGUGGAGUGCGGACGGGCAGCCGGUUGGGCUGGGCCCGGAAGGGUGUGCAGUAGAGCAAGAGGAGGAAGUGGAGGGAAAGGAACCAGAUGCUUCUGAGACAGGCUACCAUCUCUGCGUGCAGUCCCCGCGGAAUUUACGCACUUUCGUCUUGUGCUCUUAGAUGUUCUCCAGAGACUUUGGGAGCCGAGGUGAAGAUGGCGCAACUACCAGAGGGAGAGCUGGAUUCUAGAGUCCCCACUUGCUUGCCUGGAAGGAGAUCUGCUCAGAACUGCCAGGAUGUCAGAACACGGCUCUGGGCUUCCCUGGAGGAUCCAGUCUCAGCUGGUUGCUCCUCACAUGUGAUCCC